AUGUUGUUGGAUGGCACCAGUAUGUGACGUUCCUAGGAACUUAGCUCUGAGGAAAAAACAAAGCAAACCGGGGAAGUACGUAGCCUUGAACCGGAGUAACCAGGGACAGAAAGGAAGGAAAAGGGUUUCAUACCUUCACGGAACGACGCUCACUUCGUCCGCCUGAGGAGGAAAAAUAAGUUUAAACCUUUCUGUGAAAAAGAACGUGGAGCCCUUUCUGCCGAAUGGAAACCCGCUAAACCCCGUUAUGGAGUCUGCUACAAUUAAGCAUCUAACCAGGAAUUGUCUAUGGACACAACUCUCCAGGCAAUUCAUGCAGAAAGUGUGUUGACGAUUUCCUGUUUCUUGCAGAGCGCUUCACCGUUAAGGCUCUUAGUAGCUGGCGAUUGUAAAGCACAUUUUCCGCUUCAUGAAAAUACAGUGCUCUUCUUGUGUUUG
rnacentral:lncRNA from 1 species